AAGUUAAAAAUCGUAACAAGGUUUCCGUAGGUGAACCUGCGGAAGGAUCAUUACCGAGUGAGGGCCCUCUGGGUCCAACCUCCCACCCAUGUUUAUUGUACCUUGUUGCUUCGGCGGGCCCGCCUCACGGCCGCCGGGGGGCUUCUGCCCUCUGGCCCGCGCCCGCCGAAGACACCAUUGAACACUGUCUGAAGAUUGCAGUCUGAGCAAUUAGCUAAAUAAGUUAAAACUUUCAACAACGGAUCUCUUGGUUCCGGCAUCGAUGAAGAACGCAGCGAAAUGCGAUACGUAAUGUGAAUUGCAGAAUUCAGUGAAUCAUCGAGUCUUUGAACGCACAUUGCGCCCCUUGGUAUUCCGGGGGGCAUGCCUGUCCGAGCGUCAUUGCUGCCCUCAAGCACGGCUUGUGUGUUGGGCCCCGUCCUCCUUCCCGGGGGACGGGCCCGAAAGGCAGCGGCGGCACCGCGUCCGGUCCUCGAGCGUAUGGGGCUUUGUCACCCGCUCUUGUAGGCCCGGCCGGCGCUUGCCGACAACAAUCAAUCUUUUUUCAGGUUGACCUCGGAUCAGGUAGGGAUACCCGCUGAAAUUAAGCAUAUCAAUAACCGGAGGAAAAGAAACCAACAGGGAUUGCCUCAGUAACGGCUAGUGAAGCGUGAGAGCUCAAUUUGAGAGCUGGCCCUUAGGUCCGCAUUGUGAUUGCUACGAGCGUCGGGAGUGCCCCCUCUAAUGCCUGGAAGGGCGUCAAGAGGGUGAGAGCCCCUAUGGGAUGGGUGCCCCGACGAGUGAGCUCCUUCGAGAUCUAUUGUUAGGAAUGCAGCUCUCAUGGUGGAAAUUUCUCAAACUAAUAUGGGCGAAACGAAGCGACAUUAGCUCUCGAAAGAAAUUUUUUCAGAAGAGUAAAAGCCGUGAAUUGUGAAGGAACGUUGUACAGAUCGCUACGGGUCACCGUAUCGUCCGUGUCUUCCGUGGCGGCAACUCGUUUGCCGCCGUCAAGCCUCGAUGAAGCUCCGGGCUCUAAACCAGGUCAUGCGCAUCCGACGAGAAGUCUCGCCGACCUGGUAAGUCGAUCACCUCUGACCGGCAGGGCUAAUUACCAGGUCGUGAACCUCCGCUGACCAAGAGUGGACUUAGUCCACACGCCGAGCUCGAGAUGGUAAGUACUUGGCCAAAGGAAACCAAGGGACAGAACAGAAGCACAUCAGGAUGCCAUGGUGGGAA
rnacentral:sRNA from 1 species